AGCGGAGGAAAAGAAACCAACAGGGAUUGCCUUAGUAGCGGCGAGUGAAGCGGCAAAAGCUCAAAUUUGAAAUCUGGCACUUUCAGUGUCCGAGUUGUAAUUUGAAGAAGGUAUCUUUGGGUCUGGCUCUUGUCUAUGUUUCUUGGAACAGAACGUCACAGAGGGUGAGAAUCCCGUGCGAUGAGAUGUCCCAGACCUAUGUAAAGUUCCUUCGAAGAGUCGAGUUGUUUGGGAAUGCAGCUCUAAGUGGGUGGUAAAUUCCAUCUAAAGCUAAAUAUUGGCGAGAGACCGAUAGCGAACAAGUACAGUGAUGGAAAGAUGAAAAGAACUUUGAAAAGAGAGUGAAAAAGUACGUGAAAUUGUUGAAAGGGAAGGGCUUGAGAUCAGACUUGGUAUUUUGUAUGUUACUCUCUCGGGGGUGGCCUCUACAGUUUACCGGGCCAGCAUCAGUUUGAGCGGUAGGAUAAGUGCAAAGAAAUGUGGCACUGCUUCGGUAGUGUGUUAUAGUCUUUGUCGAUACUGCCAGCUUAGACUGAGGACUGCGGCUUCGGCCUAGGAUGUUGCAAGACUGAUCUUAAGUCGCCCGUCUU
rnacentral:rRNA from 1 species